rnacentral:lncRNA from 1 species
UUUGUGAAAAGUCCUGAACGACAUAGCAAGUUUUUUUUUACGUUUCAAAGUUGAUUUUAGCUGUAAUGUGCUACUUUGGGAUAAUUGGUAACAUCAGGGACAAUUGGUAACAUCUCCCGAAGCAUGAAUGUCAUUAACAUUGCAGUUUUAAGUGUUUGUCGAAAGUCCUGAACUAGCAAGUUUGUGAUUACAUGCCCUUGCAAGGUUGACUCCGUCAUCCGUUUCUCGAACAUUUGGACUCUUUGCUACUAGUGCUGAAAGGAGGAUUUGUGAUAGUCAUCUGAUGCCAUUAGCAUUGCCGAUUUGCGAGUUAUGUAACGAGGAUUCAUCUUACGCCUGAUCUCCAUUUUUAGCUCUUCUUCCUGUUCCGAAGGAAAGAAAGUGUAGAUGUCAUUAGUGUUGCUAGUCAUUAGGGCAUCUGACGUGGCAUCAUUUAGUUAUGGUGGAUUGUUUUUGUUUUCUGAUAAAUAUUACAUUGUUUCUUUCAGAAGAAGAAACUACGAAGCCGACAGAAGAAGCUGAAAGCAUACGACCUUACCACACUUUCGGAGUUCCUUCCUGAUGUGAAUGCUCCGAAACAAAAGGCAUUAACUGUAAAGGAGUUCAAGCUGAACUGCAAGUCAAGGAAGAAG